CUGGCGGCGUGCCUAACACAUGCAAGUCGAACGAGAAAGUGGAGCAAUCCAUGAGUAAAGUGGCGACCGGGUGAGUAACACGUGACUAACCUACCUCCGAGUGGGGAAUAACUCCGGGAAACCGGGGCUAAUACCGCAUAACAUCGCAAGAUCAAAGCAGCAAUGCGCUUGGAGAGGGGGUCGCGGCUGAUUAGCUCGUUGGCGGGGUAACGGCCCACCAAGGCGAAGAUCGGUAUCCGGCCUGAGAGGGCGCACGGACACACUGGAACUGAAACACGGUCCAGACUCCUACGGGAGGCAGCAGUGGGGAAUUUUGCGCAAUGGGGGAAACCCUGACGCAGCAACGCCGCGUGGAGGAUGAAGCCCUUUGGGGCGUAAACUCCUUUCGACUCGGACGAUAAUGACGGUACGAGUGGAAGAAGCACCGGCUAACUCUGUGCCAGCAGCCGCGGUAAUACAGAGGGUGCGAGCGUUGUUCGGAAUUAUUGGGCGUAAAGGGCGCGUAGGCGGUGCGGUAAGUCACCUGU
rnacentral:rRNA from 1 species